GAGUGAAAGAAGGAACGAUGUUAAAUGCCAAUGGGUAUGUAGUGACUGAGCGAGUGGUUGCUUAUGUUAUUUGGCAAAGAAGAGGCGCCAAGAGAACAAGCACAGGCAGCUGCAGCUCUUUCUUCAUUCCCCUCAAAUAUCGUCAACGGAUUUGCAUACUUAUCCCAGGCUCGAAGGAAUAUCGUAACAUAAUCAACUGGUUUGCAUGCUUGAUAUCCGUAUUUGUGUAAACCGCCGAUGUGUCAAUCUAAAAUGCUAUAAGACAACAUAAUUUACG
rnacentral:lncRNA from 1 species